GGGCAAUUAGCUCAAUGGUAGAGCGUUUGCUCGACACGCAAGAGGUUACAGGUUCAAUCCCUGUAUUGCCCA
rnacentral:tRNA from 3 species